rnacentral:rRNA from 1 species
GUCCACGCCCUAAACGAUGUCAACUGGUUGUUGGGAAUUCACUUUCUCAGUAACGAAGCUAACGCGUGAAGUUGACCGCCUGGGAGUACGGCCGCAAGGUUGAAACUCAAAGGAAUUGACGGGACCCGCACAAGCGGUGGAUGAUGUGGUUUAAUUCGAUGCAACGCGAAACCUUACCCACCUUUGACAUGUACGGAAUCCUUUAGAGAUAGAGGAGUGCUCGAAAGAGAGCCGUAACACAGGUGCUGCAUGGCUGUCGU